AAAAUUACACCGUAACUUCGGGAGAAGGUGUGCCUCUAUUAGGUGAAGGGCUUGCGCCUGGAGCCGACGGGGGUUGCAGAGAAAUGGGGGUUGCGACUGUUUACCAAAAACACAGGACUCUGCGAAGUCGCAAGACGACGUAUAGGGUCUGACGCCUGCCCGGUGCUGGAAGGUUAAGGGGAGAAGUCAGCCGCAAGGCGAAGCCUCGAACCGAAGCCCCAGUAAACGGCGGCCGUAACAAUAACGGUCCUAAGGUAGCGAAAUUCCUUGUCGGGUAAGUUCCGACCUGCACGAAUGGCGUAACGACAUCCCCACUGUCUCGGCCAGCGACUCAGCGAAAUUGUAAUGGGGGUGAAGAUACCCUCUACCCGUGGCAAGACGGAAAGACCCCGUGAACCUUCACUGCAACUUGACAGUGAAGUUCGGGACAUUCUGCGUAGGAUAGGUGGGAGGCAUUGAAGUCGGGAUUCUGGUCUCGAUGGAGCCAACGUUGAAAUACCACCCUGGAUGUUCUGGACUUCUAACCUAGGCCCCUAUACCGGGUCGGGGACACUGUCUGGUGGGCAGUUUGACUGGGGCGGUCGCCUCCCAAAGCGUAACGGAGGCGCACGAAGGUUCCCUCAGCCUGAUUGGAAACCAGGCGUAGAGUGCAAAGGCAUAAGGGAGCUUGACUGUGAGACUGACAGGUCGAACAGGUGCGAAAGCAGGUCUUAGUGAUCCGGUGACUUCGUGUGGAAGAGUCAUCGCUCAACGGAUAAAAGGUACUCCGGGGAUAACAGGCUGAUCACGCCUGAGAGUUCAUAUCGGCGGCGUGGUUUGGCACCUCGAUGUCGGCUCAUCGCAUCCUGGGGCUGGAGCAGGUCCCAAGGGUUUGGCUGUUCGCCAAUUAAAGCGGUACACGAGCUGGGUUCAGAACGUCGUGAGACAGUUCGGUCCCUAUCUGUCAUGGGCGCAGGAUACUUGAAGGGAGCUAACCAUAGUACGAGAGGACCUGGUUGGACGUACCCCUAGUGUUCCGGUUGUUCUGCCAAGAGCAUAGCCGGGUAGCUAUGUACGGAACGGAUAACCGCUGAAAGCAUCUAAGCGGGAAGCCGGCCCUAAGAUGAGGUAUCCCGGGCUGCAAAGCCCCUGAAGGCCCCUUGAAGACUACAAGGUAAUAGGUGGGGUGUGGAAGCGCAGCAAUGCGCGUAGCUGACCCAUACUAAUCGGCCGUGAGGCUUGACC
rnacentral:rRNA from 1 species